rnacentral:pre_miRNA from 1 species
UUUUAUGGAUGAGCAGAGAAAGUGGUUUCUUGAGAUGGAAUCUGCUUCUGGUGAAGAUGCCAUGAA